AUAACGGUCCUAAGGUAGCGAAAUUCCUUGUCGGGUAAGUUCCGACCCGCACGAAUGGUGUAACGACUUGUGAGCUGUCUCAACAGGGGGCCCGGUGAAAUUGAAGUAUGGGUGAAGAUGCCCAUUACCCGCGACUGGACGGAGAGACCCCGUAGAGCUUUACUGCAGCCUGAUAUUGAGUUUCGGUAACUGAUGCACAGGAUAGGUGGGAGUCUGAGAGACAUGGGUUUCGGCUCAUGUGGAGACGGUGUUGGGAUACCACUCUUCGGUUACUGAAAUUCUAACAUAGCUCUGUGAAACCAGAGGAUGGACAGUGUCAGGUGGACAGUUUGACUGGGGCGGUCGCCUCCGAAAGAGUAACGGAGGCGCCCAAAGGUACCCUCAGAAUGGAUGGAAACCAUUCGAAGAGCGCAAAGGCAGAAGGGUGCCUGACUGCGAGAGUGACAACUCGAGCAGAGACGAAAGUCGGGCUUAGUGAUCCGGCGGUAUUGAGUGGAAAAGCCGUCGCUUAACGGAUAAAAGCUACCUCGGGGAUAACAGGCUGAUCUCCCCCAAGAGUCCACAUCGACGGGGAGGUUUGGCACCUCGAUGUCGGCUCAUCGCAUCCUGGGGCUGAAUUCGGUCCCAAGGGUUUGGCUGUUCGCCAAUUAAAGCGGCACGCGAGCUGGGUUCAGAACGUCGUGAGACAGUUCGGUCCCUAUCCAUCGUGGGCGUAGGAGUCAUGAGAGGAGCUGUUCCUAGUACGAGAGGACCGGAAUGGACGCACCACUGGUGCAACUGUUGUCGUGCCAACGGCAUAGCAGGGAAGCGAAGUGCGGAUGGGAUAAACGCUGAAGGCAUCUAAGCGUGAAGCCCACCUCAAGAAUAAGACUCCACAAUAGACCCCUGGAGGACUACCAGGUAGAUAGGUCAUCGGUGGAAGCGCUGUAAGGCGUGUAGCUUGAUGAUACUAAUCGGUCGAAAGCUUCAUUUA
rnacentral:rRNA from 1 species